AUUGAACGCUGGCGGCAUGCCUUACACAUGCAAGUCGAACGGCAGCACGGGUGCUUGCCCCUGGUGGCGAGUGGCGAACGGGUGAGUAAUACAUCGGAACAUGUCCUGUAGUGGGGGAUAGCCCGGCGAAAGCCGGAUUAAUACCGCAUACGAUCUACUGAUGAAAGCGGGGGACCUUCGGGCCUCGCGCUAUAGGGUUGGCCGAUGGCUGAUUAGCUAGUUGGUGGGGUAAAGGCCUACCAAGGCGACGAUCAGUAGCUGGUCUGAGAGGACGACCAGCCACACUGGGACUGAGACACGGCCCAGACUCCUACGGGAGGCAGCAGUGGGGAAUUUUGGACAAUGGGCGAAAGCCUGAUCCAGCAAUGCCGCGUGUGUGAAGAAGGCCUUCGGGUUGUAAAGCACUUUUGUCCGGAAAGAAAUCCUUGGCCCUAAUACGGUCGGGGGAUGACGGUACCGGAAGAAUAAGCACCGGCUAACUACGUG
rnacentral:rRNA from 1 species